GUUAUAGUUAUGUAGAGAUGAAUGCCAGCUGUCUCUGUGUGUGUGUGUGUAGGAGCUGGGUUAUAGUUAUGUAGAGAUGAAUGCCAGCUGUCUCUGUGUGUGUGUGUAGGAGCUGGGUUAUAGUUAUGUAGAGAUGAAUGCCAGCUGUCUCUGUGUGUGUGUGUAGGAGCUGGGUUAUAGUUAUGUAGAGAUGAAUGCCAGCUGUCUCUGUGUGUGUGUGUGUAGGAGCUGGGUUAUAGUUAUGUAGAGAUGAAUGCCAGCUGUCUCUGUGUGUGUGUAGGAGCUGGGUUAUAGUUAUGUAGAGAUGAAUGCCAGCUCUGUCUCUGUGUGUGUGUGUGUAGGAGCUGGGUUAUAGUUAUGUAGAGAUGAAUGCCAGCUGUCUCUGUGUGUGUGUGUGAGCUGGGUUAUAGUUAUGUAGAGAUGAAUGCCAGCUGUCUCUGUGUGUGUGUGUGUGUGUAGGAGCUGGGUUAUAGUUAUGUAGAGAUGAAUGCCAGCUGUCUCUGUGUGUGUGUGUAGGAGCUGGGUUAUAGUUAUGUAGAGAUGAAUGCCAGCUGUCUCUGUGUGUGUGUGUAGGAGCUGGGUUAUAGUUAUGUAGAGAUGAAUGCCAGCUGUCUCUGUGUGUGUGUGUGUAGGAGCUGGGUUAUAGUUAUGUAGAGAUGAAUGCCAGCUGUCUCUGUGUGUGUGUGUGUGUAGGAGCUGGGUUAUAGUUAUGUAGAGAUGAAUGCCAGCUGUCUCUGUGUGUGUGUGUGUAGGAGCUGGGUUAUAGUUAUGUAGAGAUGAAUGCCAGCUGUCUCUGUGUGUGUGUGUGUAGGAGCUGGGUUAUAGUUAUGUAGAGAUGAAUGCCAGCUGUCUCUGUGUGUGUGUGUAGGAGCUGGGUUAUAGUUAUGUAGAGAUGAAUGCCAGCUGUCUCUGUGUGUGUGUGUGUAGGAGCUGGGUUAUAGUUAUGUAGAG
rnacentral:lncRNA from 1 species